AGUGAACGCUGGCGGCGUGCCUAAUACAUGCAAGUCGAACGGAGUGGCGCACGGGUGAGUAAUGUAUAGCUAAUCUGACCUACACUAGAGGACAACAGUUGGAAACGGCUGCUAAUACUCUAUAGUGUAGGAUGAGGCUAUAUUGUAUCAGCUAGUUGGUGAGGUAAUGGUUCACCUAGGCUAUGACGCAUAACUGGUCUGAGAGGAUGAUCAGUCACACUGUAACUGAGGCACGGUCCAGACUCCUACGGGAGGCGGCAGUAGGGAGUAAUGCUCAAUGGGGGAAACCCUGAAGCAGCAUCGGCGCGUGGAGGAUGACACUUUGCGGAGCGUAUACUCCUUUUGUUAGGGAAGCGUUACCUAACGAAUAAGCACCGGCUAACUCCGUGCCAGCAGCCGCGGUAAUAC
rnacentral:rRNA from 1 species